rnacentral:misc_RNA from 1 species
AACAAGGCGUACCUGCGGACCUGCGGAGGGAUCAUUACUGAGUGAGGGCCUUCGGGCUCGACCUCCAACCCUUUGUGAACACAACUUGUUGCUUCGGGGGCGACCCUGCCGUUUCGACGGCGAGCGCCCCCGGAGGCCUUCAAACACUGCAUCUUUGCGUCGGAGUUUAAGUAAAUUAAACAAAACUUUCAACAACGGAUCU